GGAUCAAUCUGUUGGUCGUGCCUUUGGUACGUACUAGCUUAUUGAUUUCUCCCUUCUGACGAACCAUGAUGUCAUUAAUUUGGUGUCAUGGGGAAUCAGGACUGUUACUUUGAAAAAAUUAGAGUGUUUAAAGCAGGCUCACGCUUGAAUACAUUAGCAUGGAAUAAUGAAAUAGGACGUUUUGAUUCUAUUUUGUUGGUUUCUAGGAUCGACGUAAUGAUUAAUAGGGAUAGUUGGGC
rnacentral:rRNA from 1 species